rnacentral:tRNA from 1 species
GGGGAUUUAGCUCAGUGGCACUGUGCCUGCCUUAGAAGCACAAGGUCCUGAGUUCGAUCCCCAGUACCCCCC